GACGAACGCUGGCGGCGCGCUUAACACAUGCAAGUCGAGCGAGAACCAGACCUUCGGGUCUGGGGAAAGCGGCGAACGGGUGAGUAACACGUGGGUAACCCACCCUUGGCACUGGGAUAGCCCGGGGAAACCCGGAUUAAUACCGGAUGGCCCAACAGCUCUUCGGGGCGGUUGGAAAAGGUAGCUUCGGCCUCCGGCCAAGGACGGGCCCGCGGCGGAUUAGCUUGUUGGUGGGGUAACGGCACACCAAGGCGACGAACCGUAGCUGGGCUGAGAGGACGAUCAGCCACACUGGGACUGAGACACGGCCCAGACUCCUACGGGAGGCAGCAGUGGGGAAUCUUGCGCAAUGGGCGAAAGCCUGACGCAGCGACGCCGCGUGCGGGAAGAAGGCCUUCGGGUUGUAAACCGCUUUCAGAAGGGACGAAGCCACUCAGGUUAAUAGCCGAGAGGGUGACGGUACCUUCAGAAGAAGCCCCGGCUAACUACGUGCCAGCAGCCGCCGUAAGAC
rnacentral:rRNA from 1 species